CGGCUAAGCCUCUUAGCUGUUGGGCUCAGCAACAGCUAAGAGCAGCUAUAGCCGGCUAUAGCUACAGCUAAGCAACUUAGCGGAUUUGUAAAUAUAGGUUAAAAAAAUCAGAAACGUGACACCAUUACUUCACUAAUUCAUCUCAUCACCAAGUCAUCAGCUCUCGCUUCCCAGUUCUCACAGGAGUAUAGCACAGUAUACAGGACAGUGGACCAUGUUUCAGUCCAGAACACUUGGCACUCACAGUUCAUCACAGCAUGAAAACAGGACAGAGGCAAACCAUAGAGGCAAUGCAUCAUCUACCCAUCAGAACAGUCACCAGGAUACCAGAAUCAGAGGAGGAAAGGGGAACAGAGAACGUGCUGGUUCUUCCUUGCCUCGCAUUGCAGCCUCAAACGAAGCAGCCGCCGGUGGACCAUGGCACCGUCGCAGUCGCCGCCGCCUUGGUGGGUUGUAGCAGCAGCCGUCGCUUAGGGGAGAGAAGUGGGAAAUAGAGAGGGUGCUAGACUGCUAGUCUUCCUCGUCUCCAGGGCCGGGCGCAGCCACCGCCGCCGCCGCCGCCUUUCAGGGGAGUGGAGAGGCUGAGACAGUUGAG
rnacentral:lncRNA from 1 species